AUUGAACGCUGGCGGCAUGCCUUACACAUGCAAGUCGAACGGCAGCACGGGAGCAAUCCUGGUGGCGAGUGGCGAACGGGUGAGUAAUAUAUCGGAACGUGCCCGGUCGUGGGGGAUAACGUAGCGAAAGCUACGCUAAUACCGCAUACGAUCUACGGAUGAAAGCGGGGGAUCGUAAGACCUCGCGCGAUUGGAGCGGCCGAUAUCAGAUUAGGUAGUUGGUGAGGUAAAGGCUCACCAAGCCAACGAUCUGUAGCUGGUCUGAGAGGACGACCAGCCACACUGGAACUGAGACACGGUCCAGACUCCUACGGGAGGCAGCAGUGGGGAAUUUUGGACAAUGGGCGAAAGCCUGAUCCAGCAAUGCCGCGUGAGUGAUGAAGGCCUUAGGGUUGUAAAGCUCUUUACCCGGGAUGAUAAUGACAGUACCGGGAGAAUAAGCUCCGGCUAACUCCGUGCCAGCAGCCGCGGUAAGUGACUAC
rnacentral:rRNA from 1 species